rnacentral:rRNA from 1 species
GGGUUGUGAGGUUAAGCGACUAAGCGUACACGGUGGAUGCCCUGGCAGUCAGAGGCGAUGAAGGACGUGCUAAUCUGCGAUAAGCGUCGGUAAGGUGAUAUGAACCGUUAUAACCGGCGAUUUCCGAAUGGGGAAACCCAGUGUGAUUCGUCACACUAUCAUUAACUGAAUCCAUAGGUUAAUGAGGCGAACCGGGGGAACUGAAACAUCUAAGUACCCCGAGGAAAAGAAAUCAACCGAGAUUCCCCCAGUAGCGGCGAGCGAACGGGGAGCAGCCCAGAGCCUGAAUCAGUGUGUGUGUUAGUGGAAGCGUCUGGAAAGGCGCGCGAUACAGGGUGACAGCCCCGUACACAAAAAUGCACAUACUGUGAGCUCGAUGAGUAGGGCGGGACACGUGGUAUCCUGUCUGAAUAUGGGGGGACCAUCCUCCAAGGCUAAAUACUCCUGACUGACCGAUAGUGAACCAGUACCGUGAGGGAAAGGCGAAAAGAACCCCGGCGAGGGGAGUGAAAAAGAACCUGAAACCGUGUACGUACAAGCAGUGGGAGCACAGAGCAAUCUGUGUGACUGCGUACCUUUUGUAUAAUGGGUCAGCGACUUAUAUUCUGUAGCAAGGUUAACCGAAUAGGGGAGCCGAAGGGAAACCGAGUCUUAACUGGGCGUUAAGUUGCAGGGUAUAGACCCGAAACCCGGUGAUCUAGCCAUGGGCAGGUUGAAGGUUGGGUAACACUAACUGGAGGACCGAACCGACUAAUGUUGAAAAAUUAGCGGAUGACUUGUGGCUGGGGGUGAAAGGCCAAUCAAACCGGGAGAUAGCUGGUUCUCCCCGAAAGCUAUUUAGGUAGCGCCUCGUGAAUUCAUCUCCGGGGGUAGAGCACUGUUUCGGCAAGGGGGUCAUCCCGACUUACCAACCCGAUGCAAACUGCGAAUACCGGAGAAUGUUAUCACGGGAGACACACGGCGGGUGCUAACGUCCGUCGUGAAGAGGGAAACAACCCAGACCGCCAGCUAAGGUCCCAAAGUCAUGGUUAAGUGGGAAACGAUGUGGGAAGGCCCAGACAGCCAGGAUGUUGGCUUAGAAGCAGCCAUCAUUUAAAGAAAGCGUAAUAGCUCACUGGUCGAGUCGGCCUGCGCGGAAGAUGUAACGGGGCUAAACCAUGCACCGAAGCUGCGGCAGCGACGCUGAUGCGUUGUUGGGUAGGGGAGCGUUCUGUAAGCCUGUGAAGGUGUGCUGUGAGGCAUGCUGGAGGUAUCAGAAGUGCGAAUGCUGACAUAAGUAACGAUAAAGCGGGUGAAAAGCCCGCUCGCCGGAAGACCAAGGGUUCCUGUCCAACGUUAAUCGGGGCAGGGUGAGUCGACCCCUAAGGCGAGGCCGAAAGGCGUAGUCGAUGGGAAACAGGUUAAUAUUCCUGUACUUGGUGUUACUGCGAAGGGGGGACGGAGAAGGCUAUGUUGGCCGGGCGACGGUUGUCCCGGUUUAAGCGUGUAGGCUGGUUUUCCAGGCAAAUCCGGAAAAUCAAGGCUGAGGCGUGAUGACGAGGCACUACGGUGCUGAAGCAACAAAUGCCCUGCUUCCAGGAAAAGCCUCUAAGCAUCAGGUAACAUCAAAUCGUACCCCAAACCGACACAGGUGGUCAGGUAGAGAAUACCAAGGCGCUUGAGAGAACUCGGGUGAAGGAACUAGGCAAAAUGGUGCCGUAACUUCGGGAGAAGGCACGCUGAUAUGUAGGUGAAGUCCCUCGCGGAUGGAGCUGAAAUCAGUCGAAGAUACCAGCUGGCUGCAACUGUUUAUUAAAAACACAGCACUGUGCAAACACGAAAGUGGACGUAUACGGUGUGACGCCUGCCCGGUGCCGGAAGGUUAAUUGAUGGGGUUAGCGCAAGCGAAGCUCUUGAUCGAAGCCCCGGUAAACGGCGGCCGUAACUAUAACGGUCCUAAGGUAGCGAAAUUCCUUGUCGGGUAAGUUCCGACCUGCACGAAUGGCGUAAUGAUGGCCAGGCUGUCUCCACCCGAGACUCAGUGAAAUUGAACUCGCUGUGAAGAUGCAGUGUACCCGCGGCAAGACGGAAAGACCCCGUGAACCUUUACUAUAGCUUGACACUGAACAUUGAGCCUUGAUGUGUAGGAUAGGUGGGAGGCUUUGAAGUGUGGACGCCAGUCUGCAUGGAGCCGACCUUGAAAUACCACCCUUUAAUGUUUGAUGUUCUAACGUUGACCCGUGAUCCGGGUUGCGGACAGUGUCUGGUGGGUAGUUUGACUGGGGCGGUCUCCUCCUAAAGAGUAACGGAGGAGCACGAAGGUUGGCUAAUCCUGGUCGGACAUCAGGAGGUUAGUGCAAUGGCAUAAGCCAGCUUGACUGCGAGCGUGACGGCGCGAGCAGGUGCGAAAGCAGGUCAUAGUGAUCCGGUGGUUCUGAAUGGAAGGGCCAUCGCUCAACGGAUAAAAGGUACUCCGGGGAUAACAGGCUGAUACCGCCCAAGAGUUCAUAUCGACGGCGGUGUUUGGCACCUCGAUGUCGGCUCAUCACAUCCUGGGGCUGAAGUAGGUCCCAAGGGUAUGGCUGUUCGCCAUUUAAAGUGGUACGCGAGCUGGGUUUAGAACGUCGUGAGACAGUUCGGUCCCUAUCUGCCGUGGGCGCUGGAGAACUGAGGGGGGCUGCUCCUAGUACGAGAGGACCGGAGUGGACGCAUCACUGGUGUUCGGGUUGUCAUGCCAAUGGCACUGCCCGGUAGCUAAAUGCGGAAGAGAUAAGUGCUGAAAGCAUCUAAGCACGAAACUUGCCCCGAGAUGAGUUCUCCCUGACUCCUUGAGAGUCCUGAAGGAACGUUGAAGACGACGACGUUGAUAGGCCGGGUGUGUAAGCGCAGCGAUGCGUUGAGCUAACCGGUACUAAUGAACCGUGUGGCUUAACCUUACAACGCCGAAGGUGUUU